UACGUAGGUGGCGAGCGUUGUCCGGAUUUACUGGGCGUAAAGGGAGCGUAGGCGGACUUUUAAGUGAGAUGUGAAAUACUCGGGCUCAACUUGAGUGCUGCAUUUCAAACUGGAAGUCUAGAGUGCAGGAGAGGAGAAUGGAAUUCCUAGUGUAGCGGUGAAAUGCGUAGAGAUUAGGAAGAACACCAGUGGCGAAGGCGAUUCUCUGGACUGUAACUGACGCUGAGGAGCGAAAGCGUGGGGAGCGAACAGG
rnacentral:rRNA from 1 species